AAUUAAAAAUUUCAUUCAUUUAUAAUGUAAAAAACUGUAUAGCAAACAGAUAAUCAAAUAGUGACAAAUAGUAUGCCAUGUGUAUCUCAUGCUAAUACGUAAAAACUAAUUUUUAACAGUAAAAAUAGAUGAAAUUUUUAACA
rnacentral:pre_miRNA from 1 species